rnacentral:rRNA from 1 species
UCGAGGAUCUUCGGCAAUGGGCGCAAGCCUGACCGAGCGACGCCGCGUGCGCGAUGAAGGCCUUCGGGUUGUAAAGCGCUGUCGAGGGGGAGGAAAGCCGUAAGGUCUGACCUAUCCCUGGAGGAAGCACGGGCUAAGUUCGUGCCAGCAGCCGCGGUAAGACGAACCGUGCAAACGUUGUUCGGAAUCACUGGGCUUAAAGGGCGCGUAGGCGGGUGGUCAAGUCAGGGGUGAAAUCUUUCGGCUCAACCGGAAAAUAGCCUUUGAUACUGACCGUCUUGAGCGAGGUAGGGGCAUGUGGAACUUCCGGUGGAGCGGUGAAAUGCGUUGAUAUCGGAAGGAACGCCGGUGGCGAAAGCGACGUGCUGGACCUCUUCUGACGCUGAGGCGCGAAAGCUAGGGGAGCGAACGGGAUUAGAUACCCCCGUAGUCC